GAAAACCUGGUAGAAUGGGCGUGUGAAUUUCUUGGUGCAGGACAGGAAUGUCCAGAGCUGGGGAACUUAAGUAACUCAAAGCAGCUGAUGAAAUACAAGAGCAUGGAAAGUUUCAAAUCCCAGUGCAAAUUUGGAUUCAUCAAGGACCAUUUGCCAGAGAGUGGAGUCAAUGGCAAAAGAGCUUCUACCGUUUCUCCCAUUCAUUAACUGGGUUUAUACUUAGGUUCAGGUAUUGGCAGUUUUAUUUCCAUAGGUACACUAGGUGGCUGAGCUUUUGUUCCAAGAACAUAUCACCUUCUCUCUUGACAUCAGAAACAGUCAUCAGGAUCUCUGUGGCAUUCUUUUGAAUAUCUUCUAUGAAGAACAAUUAAUUCUUUGAGGAAGAGGAUCUCUUGAGACUUUCACUACUAUUCAGAAUUGAAUCUGAGAAG